GAUGUACGCUGGCGGCGUGCCUAAUACAUGCAAGUCGAGCGAACAGACGAGGAGCUUGCUCCUCUGACGUUAGCGGCGGACGGGUGAGUAACACGUGGAUAACCUACCUAUAAGACUGGGAUAACUUCGGGAAACCGGAGCUAAUACCGGAUAAUAUAUUGAACCGCAUGGUUCAAUAGUGAAAGACGGUUUUGCUGUCACUUAUAGAUGGAUCCGCGCCGCAUUAGCUAGUUGGUAAGGUAACGGCUUACCAAGGCAACGAUGCGUAGCCGACCUGAGAGGGUGAUCGGCCACACUGGAACUGAGACACGGUCCAGACUCCUACGGGAGGCAGCAGUAGGGAAUCUUCCGCAAUGGGCGAAAGCUUGACGGAGCAACGCCGCGUGAGUGAUGAAGGUCUUCGGAUCGUAAAACUCUGUUAUUAGGGAAGAACAAAUGUGUAAGUAACUAUGCACGUCUUGACGGUACCUAAUCAGAAAGCCACGGCUAACUACGUG
rnacentral:rRNA from 1 species